rnacentral:sRNA from 1 species
GAGUGCCGCCCUCCUUGGGCGUUUCCUCCCUAGACUCGGGCCGCCUCGCAAGAGUGCGGCCUUUUUUUUGGAUAUG